UGUUUCCUGACAGUUUCCGGAUGGCCCCGGCGGUCUGCCCCAAGGGAUGUUUCUGGGCGAGCUGGUCUUCCUCCCAAAAACCGGGUGUGCUCUUAACUGAAUGUGGUCAGGAACUGUGAAGUUUACCUUGAAAAAAUUAAAGGGUUCAAAGCAAGCCAGCGCUUGAAUACAUUAACAAGGAAUAAUGGAAUAAGACUUUGGUUCUAUUUUGUUGGUUUCUGGAGCCUUAAAAUGAUUAUGAGAGACACUUGGGGGCGCUCGCAUUUCUCUGUCUGAGAUGAAUUCUCGUAUUUACAAGAGACAAACUCUUGCGAAAGCGUUUGCCACGAAUGUGU
rnacentral:rRNA from 1 species